UACGUAGGGUGCGAGCGUUGUCCGGAAUUAUUGGGCGUAAAGAGCUCGUAGGCGGUCUGUCGCGUCGGUCGUGAAAACUUGGGGCUUAACCCUGAGCUUGCGGUCGAUACGGGCAUGACUGGAGUUCGGCAGGGGAGACUGGAAUUCCUGGUGUAGCGGUGAAAUGCGCAGAUAUCAGGAGGAACACCGGUGGCGAAGGCGACUACCUGGCCUGUUCUUGACGCUGAGGCGCGAAAGCUAGGGGAGCAAACGGG
rnacentral:rRNA from 1 species